rnacentral:rRNA from 1 species
GACGAACGCUGGCGGCGUGCUUAACACAUGCAAGUCGAACGAAGUCGCGAGCGGGUGAGUUACGCGUAUUCCACCUGCCCUUCAGAGGGGAACAACAGUUGGAAACGACUGCUAAUACCCCCUACUGAAGGUGGGGGUGGAGUCUGAUUAGCUAGUUGGAGGGGUAACGGCCCACCAAGGGGAUGCUCAGGAGCCGGGCUGGGAGGAUGGACGGCCACAUUGGGACGGAGACACGGGCCAGACUCCUACGGGAGGCAGCAGUGGGGAAUCUUCCGCAAUGGAGGAAAGUCUGACGGAGCAACGCCGCGUGAGGGAUGACGGCCUUCGGGUUGUAAAGCUCUGUUAAUCGGGACGCGGUACCGGAAUAGAAAGCCACGGCUAACUACGUGCCAGCAGCCGCGGUAAUUC